UGGGGAAUAUUGGACAAUGGGCGCAAGCCUGAUCCAGCCAUGCCGCGUGAGUGAUGAAGGCCCUAGGGUUGUAAAGCUCUUUCACCGGUGAAGAUAAUGACGAUAACCGGAGAAGAAGCCCCGGCUAACUUCGUGCCAGCAGCCGCGGUAAUACGAAGGGGGCUAGCGUUGUUCGGAUUUACUGGGCGUAAAGCGCACGUAGGCGGACUUUUAAGUCAGGGGUGAAAUCCCGGGGCUCAACCCCGGAACUGCCUUUGAUACUGGAAGUCUUGAGUAUGGUAGAGGUGAGUGGAAUUCCGAGUGUAGAGGUGAAAUUCGUAGAUAUUCGGAGGAACACCAGUGGCGAAGGCGGCUCACUGGACCAUUACUGACGCUGAGGUGCGAAAGCGUGGGGAGCAAACAGG
rnacentral:rRNA from 1 species